CAAACGCUGGCGGCGUGCUUAAGCUUAUGCAAGUCGAACGAUUAAAGCUUUCUUCGGAGAGUGUAUAAAGUGGCGAACGGGUGAGUAACACGUGGGUAACCUACCCUUUAGUGGGGAAUAACAUUUUGAAAGAGAUGCUAAUACCGCAUGAGUUUGCAGAUUCGCAUGUAACUGCAAAGAAAGAUUUAUCGCUAAAGGAUGGGCCCGCGGGCUAUUAGCUAGAUGGUGGGGUAACGGCCUACCAUGGCUACGAUGGCUAGCCGGCCUGAGAGGGCGUACGGCCACACUGGGACUGAGACAAGGCCCAGUCCCCUACGGGAGGCGCAGGCGGGAAUUGUUCAUAAUAGGCGGAAGCCAGAUGACGCGACGCCGCGUGAGGGAAGACUGCCUUCGGGUUGUAAACCUCUGUCGUCAGGGAAGAAUGUUUAGGUUAUUCCUAUUCUGACUGUACCUGACAAGAAAGCCACGGCUAACUAC
rnacentral:rRNA from 1 species